rnacentral:lncRNA from 1 species
AAUUAUUUAAUUCGAUUCAUAAAAACACAACAACCUACCACUCCACACCAUUCAAAAAAUCCUAAAACCUUACAAUUUGUUUUCCAAAAACCUAUAAUUCGUAUGUAAUUUUUUAUUUAAAAAGAAGGUAUUUUAGAAUACCUUUUUUUCAGAAUGUAAACCAAACCAGAGGAAGAUGUUGAAGGAAGAUGAUGGUACCAAUGCUCGAACUCAUGACCAAAGCCAAUGAGUACAUCAUCACACAACAGCUGAGCUAUC